CUGCCUAAUACAUGCAAGUCGAGCGAACGGACGAGAAGCUUGCUUCUCUGAUGUUAGCGGCGGACGGGUGAGUAACACGUGGAUAACCUACCUAUAAGACUGGGAUAACUUCGGGAAACCGGAGCUAAUACCGGAUAAUAUUUUGAACCGCAUGGUUCAAAAGUGAAAGACGGUCUUGCUGUCACUUAUAGAUGGAUCCGCGCUGCAUUAGCUAGUUGGUAAGGUAACGGCUUACCAAGGCAACGAUGCAUAGCCGACCUGAGAGGGUGAUCGGCCACACUGGAACUGAGACACGGUCCAGACUCCUACGGGAGGCAGCAGUAGGGAAUCUUCCGCAAUGGGCGAAAGCCUGACGGAGCAACGCCGCGUGAGUGAUGAAGGUCUUCGGAUCGUAAAACUCUGUUAUUAGGGAAGAACAUAUGUGUAAGUAACUGUGCACAUCUUGACGGUACCUAAUCAGAAAGCCACGGCUAACUACGUGCCAGCAGCCGCGGUAAUACGUAGGUGGCAAGCGUUAUCCGGAAUUAUUGGGCGUAAAGCGCGCGUAGGCGGUUUUUUAAGUCUGAUGUGAAAGCCCACGGCUCAACCGUGGAGGGUCAUUGGAAACUGGAAAACUUGAGUGCAGAAGAGGAAAGUGGAAUUCCAUGUGUAGCGGUGAAAUGCGCAGAGAUAUGGAGGAACACCAGUGGCGAAGGCGACUUUCUGGUCUGUAACUGACGCUGAUGUGCGAAAGCGUGGGGAUCAAACAGGAUUAGAUACCCUGGUAGUCCACGCCGUAAACGAUGAGUGCUAAGUGUUAGGGGGUUUCCGCCCCUUAGUGCUGCAGCUAACGCAUUAAGCACUCCGCCUGGGGAGUACGACCGCAAGGUUGAAACUCAAAGGAAUUGACGGGGACCCGCACAAGCGGUGGAGCAUGUGGUUUAAUUCGAAGCAACGCGAAGAACCUUACCAAAUCUUGACAUCCUUUGACAACUCUAGAGAUAGAGCCUUCCCCUUCGGGGGACAAAGUGACAGGUGGUGCAUGGUUGUCGUCAGCUCGUGUCGUGAGAUGUUGGGUUAAGUCCCGCAACGAGCGCAACCCUUAAGCUUAGUUGCCAUCAUUAAGUUGGGCACUCUAAGUUGACUGCCGGUGACAAACCGGAGGAAGGUGGGGAUGACGUCAAAUCAUCAUGCCCCUUAUGAUUUGGGCUACACACGUGCUACAAUGGACAAUACAAAGGGCAGCGAAACCGCGAGGUCAAGCAAAUCCCAUAAAGUUGUUCUCAGUUCGGAUUGUAGUCUGCAACUCGACUACAUGAAGCUGGAAUCGCUAGUAAUCGUAGAUCAGCAUGCUACGGUGAAUACGUUCCCGGGUCUUGUACACACCGCCCGUCACACCACGAGAGUUUGUAACACCCGAAGCCGGUGGAGUAACCUUUUAGGAG
rnacentral:rRNA from 1 species